rnacentral:misc_RNA from 1 species
GUAUAUUAGUGCUUUCGCACAGGGCUUAAUAUUACAUUCAGGAUUGUGUAGUAAUCCUCUGCCAGCCGAAACUGACCGAGGUCAAAGGUUCACAUAGGGAGUUGGAUGAAAGUCAUCAUCGUGCACUUGCGAGAGCCAGCACAGAAGAUGACACUUCAAAAUCAAUAAUGAUCCUUCCGCAGGUUCACCUACGGAAA